rnacentral:rRNA from 1 species
UACGAAGGGGGCUAGCGUUGCUCGGAAUCACUGGGCGUAAAGGGUGCGUAGGCGGGUCUUUAAGUCAGGGGUGAAAUCCUGGAGCUCAACUCCAGAACUGCCUUUGAUACUGAAGAUCUUGAGUCCGGGAGAGGUGAGUGGAACUGCGAGUGUAGAGGUGAAAUUCGUAGAUAUUCGCAAGAACACCAGUGGCGAAGGCGGCUCACUGGCCCGGUACUGACGCUGAGGCACGAAAGCGUGGGAGCAACAGG